GCCGGCGUGGCGGAACUGGCAGACGCACAGGACUUAAAAUCCUGCGGGNCUAACCNCCCGUACCGGUUCGAUUCCGGUCGCCGGCA
rnacentral:tRNA from 1 species